rnacentral:lncRNA from 1 species
GCCCACAUCUACGUCUCCCACCUCCUCUUCUCCAAGAUCGACCGCAGCGAGGCGGCCCUCGACGUCGCCCCUCCCGGCUCCCCCUCCCAGUCCGCCAUCCUCUCCCGCCUCUCCGCCGAGUGGUCCGCCUUCAUCCUCUUCAAGGCCGCCUACCUCCUCGCCCUCCUCGUCCUCUCCCUCCUCUCCACCUCCGCCGUCGUCUACUCCGUCGCCUCCAUCUACACCGCCAAGGACCUCUCCUUCGCCAAGGUCC